rnacentral:pre_miRNA from 1 species
UCCAACAGCAUCUAUGAGGUGAUUUUCUCUUCCAAUUAUGCCAUUUAUUCUGUAUUCAAAUUUGGAGAAGCAGUGAGACGACUUCAACAUUAAUCAAAAGUGGAGAGAGUUAUUUGUUAUUGCAACACGGGAAAGAGCCUCUUUCCAAUUGUGGUUUUAAGUAGUGUUGGGGUCGUAUUGUUGCUUUUGUUUGAGAGAAAAUGAUGGUAGCUCUGAUUUCAAGUAAGUAGGAGUUAUGCAUAAUUGGGAGAGAAAAUUGCCACGUAAAUGUUGUUCGGG